rnacentral:lncRNA from 1 species
AUGGGACAGUCUCAAACUCCAUGUUCCCCCAGACCCAGGGCCCAUCCUGGCACCCAGCCCACAGUGGGCCCUGAGGAAGCAUGGACCUCCGGGGUAGCCAGAAUCCAUUCCUUCCCAUGUCAAGCCCUGUGCUGGGCCCACCCAGCCUCUUCUGUCCUGGGGAAAUCACCCCAGGGCUGGGGACCUGGCCCCAGGGCCCUCAUGGGAUGUUGUCACCAGGACCAAAAGCUGGGAGACCCAGAGCCAGAGAAUUAGGCUGAGAAUUGGGAGACAGAGCCUUCUUGGGACAGGUGACCUGUGAGUUGGGCCUUGCCAGAUGAGCAGCAGAGGAGGGGCCUUGUACCAGCUGCCGUAUUCCCCAUAGGGGGCGCUGUCCCGGCGCUUAUCCUGGAGGAAAGAAUGGUCACAAGAAAGAUGAGCAGAACAGACCCUUGCACCUCAGGCCACAGCCCAAGACAUGUGCUAGGCCUGAAUGAUGGGCCAGGCUCCGAGGGACUCAGGAGCAGAUGACUGACCAUCCGGGGCCAGAGGUGGUUUCCCAGAGUGGGAGACACUGGGGCAGGCCCUCAAGGACUGCCAGGUUGUUUAGUGUCGCAGCCACCUGGAGGUGGGAGAACGGAAGCUUCUUGACUCAGGCCCUGCAGGACUCUGGGACCUGCAGGGGAUGGGGCACAGCCCCCACCUCCCACCCAACCCUCACUCACGGCUGGGUGGUCCUUGCCCAGUGUUUUCUCCCGGAUGGCCAGAGCAUCAUUGAGCAGGCCUCCUUGCUGGGCAACAGUGACCAUGGUAGGAGCUCACGUUAGGGGAGGCGUCUUCAUCCAACUUGCGGAUCUGGCUCAUGAACAGCAAGUGCUGCUUCUCCUCCUCGAGCUGGGCCACGGCCUGCUCACUGCGCUGCAGCUUCUGCUGUGUCCCCGCCAGCUCCUCACGCAGCCACUGGUUCUCCUGCACCAGACGCCGCACCUGCGCCCGCAGCUUCUGCUUCUCUGAUUCUACAGCCCCCAGGUGGCUCGACAAUGCCAAGAUCACCUGUGCAACCAGCCCAGGUCUUGCUGGACCUACCUCCAGAACAUCCAGAACUGGUCCCUUUUCUCCACCGUCAUAGCCACCCCUUAAUUCCAAGCACCAGCUCUCAUUUGAAUUCCAGCAGUGGCUUCCUAACCACUCAUUGGAGAGUGAUUCCAUCCUCGACCCACUGAGGUUUAUUCUCCACAUCUCAGCCAGAGAGAGUUUUUAGAAACUCAAGUCAGACUGUGUUGCCUGCCUGCUUAAAGCCCUCCAGAGGCUUUCUGAUUUCCUGAGAAUAAAACCCAAACCAACCAGGCCAUGAUCUGGUUCUUGG